rnacentral:misc_RNA from 1 species
AAGUCGUAACAAGGUUUCCGUAGGUGAACCUGCGGAAGGAUCAUUAACACGUAUCCAAACGUUAAUGAUUUACCAGGGAUUGCCUCGCUUUGACAAAGUGUACGAGCACAUUGAAGGUUCACAGGGGGUCGCCGAACAGUUUUGAUUCUGGGACUUCCUCAAAGAGUGUGCAUGUUGCGCGAGGCAAGUGGCCUGGCAUUCCCAAGCAGUUAAUGUCUGAAAGUGUCAUUAGCUGUGUAAGGAUGACGCAGUAACGAUCGUUGGAGGCCGACACGGCCGACGACCGGGUCACCGGGCGCAAGCCCCUUUAUCACCACUUAAUGCAUGACAGACGCGCCAGCGCUUAAUUGUGCGGCGACCAAAAACCGAACAACUGUUAACAAUGGAUAUCUUGGUUCUC